UACGGAGGAUCCGAGCGUUAUCCGGAUUUAUUGGGUUUAAAGGGAGCGUAGAUGGGUUGUUAAGUCAGUUGUGAAAGUUUGCGGCUCAACCGUAAAAUUGCAAUUGAUACUGGCGUCCUUGAGUACAGUUGAGGUGGGCGGAAUUCGUGGUGUAGCGGUGAAAUGCUUAGAUAUCACGAAGAACUCCUAUUGCGAAGGCAGCUCACUAAACUGCAACUGACAUUGAGGCUCGAAAGUGUGGGUAUCAAACAGG
rnacentral:ncRNA from 2 species